GCCAUGCUAGUCGCACGAGUUCAGACUCGUGGCGGAUAGCUCAGUAACACGUGGUCAAACUACCCUAUAGACCAGAAUAACCUCGGGAAACUGAGGCUAAUACUGGAUAAGGCUCCUAUGCUGGAAUGCAAGGAGCUGGAAACGUUCCGGCGCUAUAGGAUGUGGCUGCGGCCGAUUAGGUAGACGGUGGGGUAACGGCCCACCGUGCCGAUAAUCGGUACGGGUUGUGAGAGCAAGAGCCCGGAGAUGGAUUCUGAGACAAGAAUCCAGGCCCUACGGGGCGCAGCAGGCGCGAAAACUUUACACUGCACGACAGUGCGAUAAGGGAACUCCGAGUGCGAGGGCAUAUAGUCCUCGCUUUUGUGUAUCGUAAGGUGGUACACGAAUAAGAGCUGGGCAAGACCGGUGCCAGCCGCCGCGGUAAUACCGGCAGCUCAAGUGAUGGCCGCUUUUAUUGGGCCUAAAGCGUCCGUAGCCGGCCGAACAGGUCCGUCGGGAAAUCUGCUCGCUCAACGAGCAGGCGUCCGGCGGAAACCAGUCGGCUUGGGGCCGGAAGGCUCGAGGGGUACGUCUGGGGUAGGAGUGAAAUCCUGUAAUCCUGGACGGACCACCGGUGGCGAAAGCGCCUCGAGAGGACGGACCCGACGGUGAGGGACGAAAGCUAGGGUCACGAACCGGAUUAGAUACCCGGGUAGUCCUAGCUGUAAACGAUGCUCGCUAGGUGUGGCACAGGCUACGAGCCUGUGCUGUGCCGUAGGGAAGCCGAGAAGCGAGCCGCCUGGGAAGUACGUCCGCAAGGAUGAAACUUAA
rnacentral:rRNA from 1 species